ACAGCUUACUGGUCUCUAGUCCUUGAGCAACUCCUGUCCUGAUCUGCCCUCGGUUGCUCCAACACAUGGCUCAUCUCUGUAUUCUCUGGUCCCGCUCCUGGUUGUAUCUACUAGGCUGGACUCCCUUGUGGACUGUGACUGGGACAUGCCUGGACCCAGAACAAAGGAGGCUGCACCUUGAUUGAGAACCACUUGACUCUUCGGCAUCUCCAAGUCCUUCCAGGAUAUUUACUGUAUCUUUUGUUGUGUUCCUGGGAUGAGUGUGAUUAUCAAACAAUCUUGAGACAGCCAAUGUAUAUCACUAAUUCCUAUGAGCAACAUCUCCCAUUGCUCUGACUCUGAGCAUGUGUGAUGAUAUGGGGGUAUAUAUUUUUCAUAUAUAUUUAUGUAUAGAUUCUGUUUGAU